rnacentral:rRNA from 1 species
ACUUGUCCGCCAGAGGAUUACGGGUGAAAACCUAAAACUCAAAAGACUUGACGGUGUCCCAAUUCUACCUAGAGGAGCCUGUUUCAUAAUCGAUAACCCCCGCUCCACCCAACCUCUUCUUGAAAUCCUUCAGCCUAUAUACCGCCGUCCUUCUUCCGCUUACCUUUUGAAAGACAAACAGUAAGCCCAAUAGUUUCAACAACUAAAAAGUCAGGUCAAGGUGUAGCUUAUGAAGAGGAGAAAAUGGGCUACAUUUUCUAUUAUAGAACACCUACGGAAAGUAUUCUGAAAUAAAAUACACAAAGGCGGAUUUAGUAGUAAG